GGGCCUGCUGCGCACGAGGCUGCGCACCAGGCGGGCCCCGGCGCGUGGUAGGUGCCGUUGAGGGUUCCCGCCACCGCUGCUGGCGGGUUUGCCUGGCAAAAUUUCUCGCUGGCUCGCCUUCUUUUCCCUCCCGCACUUUGGUGGGGAGGGGGGGGACCCUCGCGUCGGCGCCUCGCUUCACGAUGACCUGAGAGAAGCCGAGGACGUGGUCGGUGCGGCCAUGCCCCCCAUCGCCUCGACCUGCUGGCCGCCCCGGGGAAGGAGCACCGAGGCGGUGACUGCGACGCAAACAACAAAUCAGACGCAAACAGAUUCAUUAUCUCCAUCCCCUAAUCCUGUGUCACCUGUGCCUUUGAAUAACCCAACAAGUGCCCCAAGAUACGGAACUGUGAUCCCUAACCGCAUCUUCGUAGGAGGAAUUGACUUUAAGACAAAUGAAAAUGAUUUAAGAAAAUUUUUUUCCCAGUAUGGGUCUGUAAAAGAAGUGAAGAUUGUUAAUGACAGAGCUGGAGUAUCCAAAGGGUAUGGUUUCAUCACUUUUGAAACUCAAGAAGAUGCACAAAAAAUCUUACAAGAGGCUGAAAAACUUAAUUAUAAGGAUAAGAAACUGAACAUUGGUCCAGCAAUAAGAAAACAACAAGUAGGGAUUCCUCGUUCCAGUAUAAUGCCUGCUGCUGGAACAAUGUAUCUAACCACUUCAACUGGAUAUCCUUACACUUACCAUAAUGGCGUUGCUUAUUUUCAUACUCCAGAAGUAACUUCUGUCCCACCAUCUUGGCCUUCGCGAUCCAUAUCUAGUUCUCCUGUGAUGGUAGCUCAGCCGGUUUAUCAGCAGCCUGCAUAUCACUACCAGGCCCCAGCUCAGUGUUUACCAGGGCAGUGGCAGUGGGGCGUUCCCCAGUCCCCUGCCUCUUCUGCUCCAUUCCUAUAUCUGCAGCCCUCUGAGGUUAUUUAUCAACCAGUGGAAAUUGCACAAGAUGGUGGCUGUGUUCCUCCUCCACUGUCUCUGAUGGAAGCCUCCGUCCCAGAGCCGUAUUCCGACCAUGGAGUCCAAGCAGCGUCGUACCACCAGGUCUACGCCUCCAGCGCCAUUGCUGUGCCUGCGCCCGUGAUGCAGCCUGAGCCCAUUAAAACAGUGUGGAGCAUUCAUUAUUAAGACAAUUGGGCAGCUCUAGUCCAGCUCAACUGAUUUCUUGUCCAUUGAUCCUUGUGUGACCAAGAUCCAGCUUCAAGGAACCGGCUAGAAGCUGCCCGUUGUGAAACUUAGGGAGCCAAGGUUACAUUCUGUGAGAAGAAGCUUUUCUCAUCCUUCACCUGUGGCUUUGAACCCUCGAUACUCUCGAAGCCCACACUUCCAUCCUAGAAAAGAGUUCAGAGCAGAGGAUUCAGUUUCCACUCCACCUUCCUGUACUGACUUUGUUAAGUAGACUCUGGGAUAACUGUUUGGUCCAGAAAUAGAAAAUAACUAGGCCUGCAUGUGGUCUAGUAACAAAAGAGGUUUGGGGAUAUGCUUAAGGUUAAUGUUUUUGCUUUUUUUUUUUUUUUAAGAAUUUUUAAAAUCUUAGUAGCCAGAACAUGGGAGAUGCAGAAUUCAAUCAUGGUUUCCUUUAUUAACUCAGACACAUAAGUGAGACAGAGUUACAAGUCCUAGCAGGCGAGACCAUAACCGUCUUAGCAGCACGAUCAGAUCAUCAUACAUAACCCUGGGUUUUCAGUCUCAUUCCAGAAGUUUCAUAUUUGUAAACAAAUCCAUGGCAUAGAUAAAAAUACUUAGCAACAGACCAUUUUUGUAAUGUUGUAUAAAUUUUAAAAACUCCAUCUUGUUAGGAGAUGAUUCAUAAAUUCUAGUUUUCACAUUAUUUUGGUUUUACUAUAUUUGUGUUUGUAUUUUAGCUGUAUUAAGUGGCUAUGAUAAAAAACAUUUCAAACUCUACUUACAUUACAAAUUUUAUACAUGUUGAUAUAAAAAUAAUUUGUGUAUUAUAAAAUAUAAAAUAUCCAUUAAUCUGUCAUAUUAUGACCACUUAUUGUACAGUGGUCACUAUGACCAAAGUGACACCAUCCUUCAGUGUUCUUAAAGAUUAUCUAUUCCUCGCCCUCUUCUGUCAUUCCUACAAGAAGUACAAUUGUUCAUAGGGCAUAGCACCUUAGGGAAUAUAAAUAUUCAUAAUUACAUCAUGUCAGACUUGAUACUGUCAGGAUUUUUAUCUUUCAUUCACUCGGUUCUUUGUGAGGUUUAUAGGCUGUUAAAACCAUAGAAUUUACCCAUAACACAAUUUUAUUUUCAAAUACAAAGAAGCUAUGAUUGCCUGCUGUUAUGGAAUGAGAGAAGUUUCUAAAAUUAAAAAAUAUACCACAAUAUUUAAAAUUUUUAAAUUAAAAAUUACUAUCUUUUAAGUCAGUGCUUUCUGUUUACCAAAUGUAACUUCUGUUUUAAAAAAAAUUAUUCCUUUGAUAGAAACUUGGAUUAGCAAAACAAUAAGGUUAUAUAAAUCAACAAUAUUUCAGUUGACUACAUGGAAAUUUACUUUAGAAUUUAAUGAAAGUUGAUAGCACAAUACUUCUAGGAAAUGCUAGAAUUUCAGUAUUUUAAAUUUAUACCUACUCCAAGAUUUAAUACUGUCUUGUACUUCUUCUGGGAAAGAGUAAGUAUUAUAAAAAGAAAGGUUCUCAUAAUAUCUGAAAGGCAAUACCCAAUAAUAACUUGAAUAACUUUUUUAUUCUGUCUCAUAAAGGAUGGUGAAUAUACUCAUGGAUGUACAUAUAUAUUUGGGGUGUGUAAUCUUAAUAUUUCUGGGCUGAAAUACAUGUCUAUAAAUAAGAUGUAAUAGUAUUGUUUAGUAGAUAGAAUCUUCAUACAUCCUAAGGCUUUCCAUCUUUUAUUAAGACUAUUCCUUUUGCCAGUGUUACUUUGAAAGUAACAUGCUAUAUGUAUUGUUACCAGGGCCCUAGCCAAAAUAUCAUGAAACAAUAUAUUUGAUACUCGGUUUACCUGUUUUCAGUAUAUAUUUUAAUCCCAUAUUUAUUAUUCAGGCUUACUCAGUAAAUAACGGGCAUUUUUCUAAAAACUUUUAUAAAUUCCAAGAGUCUAAGAGUAAUUGUAUUUUGCAUUUAAAAAAAAAAACUGAAAGUGAAAUGUUUUUGUUAACCAGUUUAGUUCAGGCAAUUAUGCUCUCUCCUAAAAUACACUCUACUUCCACAUUAUCUUUACUCAAUUCUGUAAAGAUUAUAUAUUAUAUUUCUCUCUGUAGACUGUGAAGUAUAAAAUGGAGAUUACUUGAAAAUACCAAAAGGUAUUACACUGUUUAAGCCAUUAUACCUUGCUCUUAUUUUACAAAUGUAACAAAAGUGACUUUAACAACUGUAAACCAUCAGUGUUUAAGCUUUGCACUUUCCAGGUCUUUUUCUUAGCCAUCCUACGUCAGCCUCGCCCUGGUCUCAGAUCUUUCUGAAACCACAGCUAGCAGUGUCUAAGGAAACGUCUAGUCAGCGUAAAAGGUGUUGCCAAAGGACUUCCUCUUCCUUUGCUCUCUGUUAUUCUAGCAGAAUAACUGCUGAGGUUAGAUUAAUACAGUGUAUUCCUUGCCAGUCACAUUAGGAUCUUUGUUUUCAGCACCAGAAGAAACAAAGCUACACUCUAUACUCCCGUAAUAUUUCUAACAACAUGUAAAAGUACACAGAUAGAUUUUUUAAAGAUAUGCAAAAAUUUCUGUCUUUUGUAAAAAGCCAAAUGCUGAUUAGUAAAGUUAGUAGUAGUACUUCUGCUCAGACUGAAAACUGCUGUUAGUUAAAAUAACGUUUACUAUCCUGAUGUUAGAAAGAAAAAUGAAAAUAAACUCAGCAAAAAUCCCAUGUACACAGGUGUUUAAGCCCAUGUUUAAACUGACUACAUAUAUAAUCUUUACAGAAUCUGUUUUAAAGAGUUGAGCUAAGACACAUAGCUUUACAUAUUGAAUAUUUAAGUAUCUACCUCAACAAACUUGGCAAUGAUGGUGUCCAGUAGCUUGAUUCCACCUGACUAGCCCACUCGAUUACUUGGUUUUAAGUAGCGAGUUUUCUCUAUUACUCCUGUCUGUCCAGCUGAAAUCACAGUGGUUUCCUAAUAUAUCACACUGAGCUACAGAGCUAUACGUUUACACGGUUGGUUUAUGUCAGAGCUAAUAGCUCUUUAUAUAAUCUCCAUGCAUUACAGAAAAAGUGUGUGCUCUUAUGCUGGAUAUAUAAUUUAUGACAUCAGUUACAUAAAAAAUAUUUCACUCAAAAUGUGGUGUGGAUUACCUUAUAGAGACUGACUUUACGUGAACAACAGUCUAAAUAAUUCCCUUGAGCACUAACCAACCAUUUUUUAUAUUUUAUGCUAGUCAAAACAAUGUCGCAAUGAACGUUAAAAAUGUUUGCUUUGCAUCCAAAUAAAGUCCUUCCUCAAGUGGCAUGAAAACCAACCACUCAUCUUUUACGCAGCUAACCACACACAUUUCCAAUAACUGACCUUGUCAGUACUUAGAAAUAGACUUCUUAUUUUAAUUAGAGUCCCAAACUGAAUUAAAAAUAAACACUGGCUAGAGAAAAUGCUUGUCUCAACAUGUACAAGAUGCUAGUUCAGUCUCCAGCAUUUAAAAAAGAAAGAAAAGCCAUCCACAAUGAAACUGGAACAGAACUUAAUACUAAAAAUCUGCUGUUAUAGAAAAUACAGAGAAUUUCUGUAAAGUGAGUUUUAUAGGAAUUUAAGUAUAAUCUGUCAACUAAGUAAUUCCAGGUUCCCAAGUAUUAAGAAUUUGAACCUUAGGAAGUCCUUACAAAUUAGAAACUGGCCCUUAAUGUCAACAGGUCAUUCAUUACCUACUGUGCAUUCUUUAAAAGACUGAAAAGCAGUACACCUUGCUAACAAAGGUCUGUCUACAUUCAAACAGGAUCCUAAAGAAGUUAUUUUAAACCCAAAAUUAAAAUGUAGGUUUCUUGGCCUUCCUAGUUGACAACGAUUUUAAAACAUUUGAUUUCUUAAAAUAUAUUUUACAUGGACGCUAAGACCUGUAUAAAGAUGGCUUUACCCGUUUUUGGUUUUUUGUUUGUUUGUUUGUUUUGUUUUUUGUUUUUUAGUGAAACUUGUAUCUAAUAAAACAGAUACAAUUCCUCUUAAAAUGUGAAGUUUUUCUUUCAGUAUUUUUGCAGUUCACAGUAACGUUUCUAGUUUAAAGAGAUGAGAACAUCUUGACUAUGUUAUGAGAUAAAAUUUAUCAAGAAUUAUCCACAGCCAAAAAGACCUGGUUUCUGCAAUCUUUUUAGGAAAUUUGUCAUAAGAAUAGAUGCCAUAGAAUUUAAAUUGUUAGUAAGUAGAUAAGUUUUAUUAAUAUGUUCAUUUGUAUUAAAGUGUAUGUAUGAAAUAAAAGAGUUCCAGUGU